ACGCAGUAAACGAUGAUAACUAACCGUUGGGCAGCAAUGUUCAGUGGCCAAGCGAAAGCGAUAAGUUAUCCACCUGGGGAGUACGUCGGCAACGAUGAAACUCAAAGGAAUUGACGGGGGCCCGCACAAGCGGAGGAACAUGUGGUUUAAUUCGAUGAUACGCGAGGAACCUUACCCGGGCUCGAACGGCACAGGAAGAGAUCCAGAGAUGGUGACGCCAGCAAUGGUCUGUGUCGAGGUGCUGCAUGGUUGUCGUCAGCUCGUGCCGUGAGGUGUCGGCUUAAGUGCCAUAACGAGCGCAACCCUUGUCGUCAGUUGCCAGCAUGUAAAGAUGGGGACUCUGACGAGACUGCCACCGCAAGGUGUGAGGAAGGGGGGGAUGACGUCAAAUCAGCACGGCCCUUACGUCCGGGGCGACACACGUGUUACAAUGGGGAGUACAGAGGGCAGCCACCUGGUGACAGGGAGCGAAUCCCGAAAACUCUCCUCAGUUCGGACUGGAGUCUGCAACUCGACUCCACGAAGUUGGAUUCGCUAGUAAUCGCGCAUCAGCCAUGGCGCGGUGAAUACGUUCCCGGGCCUUGUACACACCGCCCGUCAAGCCAUGGAAGCUGGGAGCGCCUGAAGUCCGAGACCGCGAGGAUCGGCCUAAGGUGAGACUGGUAACUGGGGCU
rnacentral:rRNA from 1 species